UGUCUUUUAACCAGAAAAACAGACCAAAGGGUAAGUUGAAAAUGGCCUUUCACCGGCCUUUCCUUCCAAAUACCAACAAACAACUCUCUCACACUCACUGCACAGAAAAAAAUGCCUUGUGACUCUUUCCUAGUUAUCCCCUUUGAUGGGAUGGGCCCCUUCUUUAUAACCCCUUCUUCUCUUUCCUUCCUCUAUCCUCUCUUCUCUCUUUCCAUUCCCUCCUGUGUCACAGACAAUGGAGGGAAAGGGAAAGGGAAACAUUAGAAAGAAAGAAUGACUGGUGGGGUUGCCCUUAAAAAACCACAAUAUAUCAGAAAUGGCUCAAGAGGACAACCACUUCUCAUCUCUUUCAACCACCCAUUUGGGCCAUUCUGUUCUUCCCUACAUGAUAUGUCAAUUCUGCCCUUUCCACUGUGUGUUUCCCUACAAAAAAUCCCUUUGAAAAUCAGAGGUCAUUUUAGUGGAAAUUGCAUUAAAGCGUGUGUUUGGAACAGCACUACUACAAUGUAACUCUCCUUUUAUCUCUCUCUCUCUCUCUUUUCUCUCUCAAACCCAACAGCAACAACAACAGCAAACUUCCUUCUUAGGAUAUAAAAAAGGCAGACAGGAUGGAGCCAGGCAAUUGUAGCUAUACUUUUCUACUUAAUUUUACUUUCUUUCUUGUUAUAGCUUAUUUUUUCUGGUUAUAUCUCAUAAUUUCUUGAGAUAUAUAGAGAUUCAAGACAGGAAAAAAACCCAACUAUCAUCAUCAUCAUCAUCAUUCACUCAUAGGUAAAGUUUCAUACAGCUUCUGAAGAUUCUUAAUAUUCUGUAUGUAUUACCUGAAAUUUUUUAGUUCUUGAGCUUAUAUUUUAUAUAUUUUAAUGAUCUUGAUGACAGUGCAUGGUGCUUCCCAUUUUUAUAUUUUUCAUGUCACAGAUCUCUAUUUUCUUGUGGUGUUGAUUUGAUUUUCUUAUCCAUCCAUCUUUAUCACUUCUUGCUAGCUAUGUUGGUUUCCAGAUCAAUUUGUUCAUGAGAUUGCACUUUGCUUUAUUAUCCUAUCCCUCCUGUGAUCCUGUACUAGAUCUUUAAAAUCACUUGGCCGGCCCUUCUCCGGCCGGCAAGUUUUGGUUUAAUGCUUUUACAAGUAUAUUUCGACAUAACCCAUGUGCAAGCUUAAAUCUUGCACCAGUGGCUGUCGUGUCUGAAUUUUGAGUUGUGGAUGGGUUAAUUUCUGUAAUCUGAAGACAUAUUCAUUAAUUAAUUAUUGUGAGCAGAUGGAUUAACAUAUGAACUAGUCUUGUUCUUGCUAUCUUUGUUUUUCCCAUUUGGCAAGCAUCAUUGGUUAAUUGAAAACCUGACAUGUCCAACAAAAAUAAACCCUCGUGAAGAAAUCUAACCAGCAAUCAUGAUGACUCCAAGUUGGAAGUUGUUGUUUUGCUGUUUUUGUCUUUCUGCAUAAUUGAUCAGCAAUGUCUAGCUUCAUCAUUAAUGCGACCCCCACCCCCUAAAUAAUUCAUCUUCAUAGAUUCGGUUUUGAAGUUUAUUAUGAAAAAUUUAUGCUUUAUGGUCGGUUUAGAUGCUUUUCUUGAAUCAGAUUAGUUGUUUACAUGUCUUUGAAAUGAUGUUUAAUGCAAAUAUUAUUAAUACUUGAAAACUGGGA
rnacentral:lncRNA from 1 species